rnacentral:lncRNA from 1 species
CUGGGUAGGAGGAACAGCAUUUAAUUCAGACUAAAACCGAGCUGCUGUGGGAGAGAAGGGCAAAUUACUUUUUGAAAAAAGUUGUAACCCUGUGAUUCCUGCUGUCACUAAUAAUCCUACAAAUUAAUAACAGGCUGAUCGCUCAGCCACUGGUUUUGGCUUCCGGUUCCCUUUGAUUGCUACAGAAUGCCUUUUCCAAGAGUGAAAUGGAGAGGAGGUUCAAAGGCACCCAGGACACCUAUGAUGCAUCAGGGCCAUGGGCCAGGGACAUGAAAGAGGAAGUCUGUGAGCCCCGACAGAGGAAGGGAACUUCUUGUACCUUCUGAAUGUCAAGUGAAGUGGAAGUACUACCUAUGCAAUCGAUA